GAACGCAUAGCGCCGUUGGGUUUUCCCUUCGGCACGUCUGGUUCAGGGUUGUUUAUAAAUACUACAAUGUGGCCUGUUACAUUGUUUGUCGAAUGGCGCUUGCAUUCAUUUGCGAUCCCCUUCCUAGAAAAGAAGCAUAUUGCAACAUGUAUGUUAG
rnacentral:rRNA from 1 species